UACGUAGGGUGCGAGCGUUAAUCGGAAUUGCUGGGCGUACAGCGCGGCUGCAGGCGGCUACGUAUGUGAACCCGGUGGACAUCCUCCGGGCUCAACCCGAGGCGGGCCCGGGUUAGACAGCGUGGCUGGAGGCAGGGGAGAGGGAUGUGGAAUACCCGGGUGGAGCGGUGAAAUGCGGUAGAGAUCGGGUGGAACACCAGCGGC
rnacentral:rRNA from 1 species